AUUGAACGCUGGCGGCGUGCCUAACACAUGCAAGUCGAGCGAACUCUUCGGGGUGAGCGGCGGACGGGUGAGUAACGCGUGGGUAACCUGCCCUGUACACACGGAUAACAUACCGAAAGGUAUGCUAAUACGGGAUAAUAUAUGAAAGUCGCAUGGCUUUUAUAUCAAAGCUUUUGCGGUACAGGAUGGACCCGCGUCUGAUUAGCUAGUUGGUAAGGUAACGGCUUACCAAGGCGACGAUCAGUAGCCGACCUGAGAGGGUGAUCGGCCACAUUGGAACUGAGACACGGUCCAAACUCCUACGGGAGGCAGCAGUGGGGAAUAUUGCACAAUGGGCGAAAGCCUGAUGCAGCAACGCCGCGUGAGCGAUGAAGGCCUUCGGGUCGUAAAGCUCUGUCCUCAAGGAAGAUAAUGACGGUACUUGAGGAGGAAGCCCCGGCUAACUACGUGCCAGCCGCCGCGGUAA
rnacentral:rRNA from 1 species